CAGGCUUAACACAUGCAAGUCGAGGGGCAUCAGGAAGAAAGCUUGCUUUCUUUGCUGGCGACCGGCGCACGGGUGAGUAACACGUAUCCAACCUGCCCUUUACUCGGGGAUAGCCUUUCGAAAGAAAGAUUAAUACCCGAUAGCAUAAUGAUUCCGCAUGGUUUCAUUAUUAAAGGAUUCCGGUAAAGGAUGGGGAUGCGUUCCAUUAGGUUGUUGGUGAGGUAACGGCCCACCAAGCCUUCGAUGGAUAGGGGUUCUGAGAGGAAGGUCCCCCACAUUGGAACUGAGACACGGUCCAAACUCCUACGGGAGGCAGCAGUGAGGAAUAUUGGUCAAUGGGCGCUAGCCUGAACCAGCCAAGUAGCGUGAAGGAUGAAGGCUCUAUGGGUCGUAAACUUCUUUUAUAUAAGAAUAAAGUGCAGUAUGUAUACUGUUUUGUAUGUAUUAUAUGAAUAAGGAUCGGCUAACUCCGUGCCAGCAGCCGCGGUAAUACGGAGGAUCCGAGCGUUAUCCGGAUUUAUUGGGUUUAAAGGGAGCGUAGGUGGACUGGUAAGUCAGUUGUGAAAGUUUGCGGCUCAACCGUAAAAUUGCAGUUGAUACUGUCAGUCUUGAGUACAGUAGAGGUGGGCGGAAUUCGUGGUGUAGCGGUGAAAUGCUUAGAUAUCACGAAGAACUCCGAUUGCGAAGGCAGCUCACUGGACUGCAACUGACACUGAUGCUCGAAAGUGUGGGUAUCAAACAGGAUUAGAUACCCUGGUAGUCCACACAGUAAACGAUGAAUACUCGCUGUUUGCGAUAUACAGUAAGCGGCCAAGCGAAAGCAUUAAGUAUUCCACCUGGGGAGUACGCCGGCAACGGUGAAACUCAAAGGAAUUGACGGGGGCCCGCACAAGCGGAGGAACAUGUGGUUUAAUUCGAUGAUACGCGAGGAACCUUACCCGGGCUUAAAUUGCAGUGGAAUGAUGUGGAAACAUGUCAGUGAGCAAUCACCGCUGUGAAGGUGCUGCAUGGUUGUCGUCAGCUCGUGCCGUGAGGUGUCGGCUUAAGUGCCAUAACGAGCGCAACCCUUAUCUUCAGUUACUAACAGGUCAUGCUGAGGACUCUGGAGAGACUGCCGUCGUAAGAUGUGAGGAAGGUGGGGAUGACGUCAAAUCAGCACGGCCCUUACGUCCGGGGCUACACACGUGUUACAAUGGGGGGUACAGAAGGCAGCUAGCGGGUGACCGUAUGCUAAUCCCAAAAGCCUCUCUCAGUUCGGAUCGAAGUCUGCAACCCGACUUCGUGAAGCUGGAUUCGCUAGUAAUCGCGCAUCAGCCACGGCGCGGUGAAUACGUUCCCGGGCCUUGUACACACCGCCCGUCAAGCCAUGGGAGCCGGGGGUACCUGAAGUACGUAACCGCAAGGAUCGUCCUAGGGUAAAACUGGUGACUGGGGCUAAGUCAUAAC
rnacentral:rRNA from 1 species